GUGGCGUCUGGGGCAUGGACCGGCUACAUCAGCCUCACUGAUGAGUCUGUGGUCGGUCUCGAGACGAAACGCUUC
rnacentral:hammerhead_ribozyme from 1 species